rnacentral:rRNA from 1 species
GGGCCCGCACAAGCGGUGGAGCAUGUGGUUUAAUUCGAUGCAACGCGAAGAACCUUACCAGGGCUUGACAUACUACAAAUUCUUUUGAGAAAGAGAAGUGCCUUCGGGAAUGUAGAUACAGGUGGUGCAUGGCUGUCGUCAGCUCGUGUCGUGAGAUGUUGGGUUAAGUCCCGCAACGAGCGCAACCCUUAUUUUUAGUUACCAAUUCGUUGGGUUUUUUAGAAAGACUGCCGGUGACAAACCGGAGGAAGGUGAGGAUGACGUCAAGUCAGCAUGCCCCUUAUGUCCUGGGCUACACACGUGCUACAAUGGUUAAGACAAAGAGUCGCAAGCUCGCGAGAGUUAGCUAAUCUAUUAAACUUAGCCUAAGUUCAGAUUGUAGGCUGCAACUCGCCUACAUGAAGUUGGAAUC